rnacentral:rRNA from 1 species
UACGUAGGGGGCAAGCGUUGUCCGGAAUCAUUGGACGUAAAGAGCGUGUAGGCGGCCAGACAGGUCCGUUGUGAAAACUCGAGGCUCAACCUCGAGACGCCGAUGGAAACCGUCUGGCUAGAGUCCGGAAGAGGAGAGUGGAAUUCCUGGUGUAGCGGUGAAAUGCGCAGAUAUCAGGAAGAACACCCGUGGCUAAGGCGGCUCUCUAGUACGGUACUGACGCUGAGACGCGAAAGCGUGGGGAGCGAACAGG